AGAAAGACUGACUUGCUGGUGCAUAUGGGAGUGAGUGAGUGGCGAUCUGGCAUUAAUGACAAGUGUACAGCUCUGUGGCAGAAGCAUUGGGAGAGUGAGGAGAAAGCACGCCACUUUUUGCCACAGCAUAAAGUCUAAAAAGUGCUAUCUUGGAAAAGGAGGGAGACAAACCAUAGGCUAAUUAUGACAGGACUCGGGUUUAGGACAUUGUGAUUUGCCGUGAGAUCGGUCAAAGAUGGGAAAACAUGAGGAUGGGCUCUGCGGGCUCUGCGGGAUCUGCAGGACAGUGUAACAUGUCUUAAUGGAGUGUGUCUUAUAUAAGGAGCAAAGAGGGCAGUUGUUCGCUGUGGUAUUGGACUCUGGAAUAAACAAUUUAUCUCCGAAGCACCUUUUAAAGUCGUCGGAAAACCAGUCCCAAUUUAUCAACGCAGUCCUGGGUUUUUACAGGAAAUAUCUCCUUUUGAUGCACUAUCACGACUAACCAGUGAGAGGCAGCAACAUGCCGCAAGGCAUCUAGCCUGCCGGAAAAGAAGGAGAAGAAGCAUAUGGGUAUUUAUGGAAACCCUAAAGGGUCUUAGGCGAACCACUUCCUGAAUUAGUCACGUGGUAUCAGCCGGGCAGCGAGGCUUCGGACUUCAUCAUUUUCAGCUCCUCCCCUAAAUGAAGCAAGCCUCGAUACGCCCAUCGCUGAAACGCCCCCUCCCCUACUCGGCACACGCUUCAAAGCCUCGACACGGAACGUUACAUCACUACAAAUAACCAUCCCGUAAGUCACCCACAUCUUAGCUUCUUAUAUUCUAAUUCUUGUAUUAUUUAUUUAUUUCGUAAGUGGCCAUGGUCUAAGCGGGAUAAUGCCCGACAAGGUGUCCAUUAUCAGAAAUGAAUGGACGACGCGGAGCUUUCGCAAAGUCCAUUCAUUUCAGAUAAUGGACACUGUUGGGUUUUAAAGGGUUUAAUAAGGCUGUAUAUAACCUUGGGAAGAAUCAGGAAGAGUGUUACUUCUGUGAGUACGAAUGCUUGUUUGUCUCUGUGUUAGCCCUGCGCAGGGCCGUAUGCAGGGCCCAAGAAAUACUGAGGUCAUGAAUCAGAACUUCUAGGUGGGUACGGUUCGUAUUUUUAAUUACAUUAUUUAAAUCUGGCUUUUUUUUUCUUAGUCUUAAGGAGCAAAAACAUUAUUUAUUUUUGUAGGACCACUAUGGUGACUCAUUAAGUAAGGGCAAGUUACCACCGAAAAUGAUUUAUUAUUAUUAUUUUUGAAAAUUCGAUCUGCUCUGUGCCGUGUUGCUGCGUUGUGCUAGUUGUGUAUCCGGCGCAGAAAUACAUAACAGGUUCAGCAUCCGACAUUGAGAAAUCAACACUGAAUGAACGUUUCAUUUUCAAUCGAAGACGUUGCUGACAUAUCAAUCGCAAAAUGAAUGUUGAACUGAUGGAAAUUAAUGACCGCUACUGACGGAGUUAAUCAAAAUUACACUUUGAUUCGAUGUUUCCUAGAAUAGUACGCUGGGCUGCAAUAAAAAUAUUUCCACAUGAAAAUGAAAAUGUUUCUCACAGUCAUUUACCACCUACAUGUUUAGCUUCAUGUGCUCCUCUUCCAGUGACUGGUGUGACUGACCGACUCACUAACGGUACUGGUAACAACAUCAGCGUCCAACUUUAGUGUGGUACUUACCAUAGCGACAGUGCGUGUUGUUGAUGACGCGUAGCACGUAUGCCCAACUCUUGGCUCUUCAAAUAUAAAAUCACCUUACGGUUUUGUGGGAGACCAAGAUCAUCGUCCUACAGUCAUUUUCACGUGUAAUUUAUUUUAAGUUCAUAUACCACAAUUUAAGCAAAAAAAAAAAAAGAAGAAAAAGAAAAAAAUACCGAGGACACGACCUCGGUGUCCUCAAGGGUAGUUAUGGCCUUGUUAUAGUUAUAUAUUUACAUUUUGCUUGAAGCUACACUUGUUCCUUUACAUUUAAAUAAAAUUGCAGCAUGAUUGUACAUCAAAUAAAAAACUCAAAGGAAAUACAGAUCAUGAAUAUCUUCUUAACAUUUCAGCCACACACUGUUUAGUUUUUGUAGGUUUAUAUAAUUUUUUGGUUCAUUGAUAUGUUUCUGUAUAGAUCCAAUGCUGUACGAGCUUUCAGGAGUGACUUUUGACCACGUAUGAAGUAUGGUAGAUUUAGGGAUGAAAAUGUCUUGAAAUGAACUUCAUGGAAGUUUGAAAAAAAAAAUUCAAACUUCAAGUGUUAAGAUAAGCCUUUAUUCAUCCCACAGUGAUUAAAUUCUUGCAGCAGAGACAUUCAGCAAUCACACAGAAGGUGCACACAGUGCACAUAUGGGUGAUAUUGGGCUGGUAAGGAGGGUGUCCCAUUGUUCAAGUAUUAUCACUAUUUCAAUAUAUGCUGAUAGGGACUAUAUGUGGCUUAAAGUCUUUGUUAUUCUUUAGUUUCUCAAUUGUUUUCAUUUUGUCUCUGCGAUUAAUAAUAUAUUACAGUUUUCUUUUUUUCAGACACUGAUUUCUUAAAUAGUAAGAUGUUAGAAGUGUCACCAAUGGAAAGGUGAUGUGGUGUUAUCAGCUGAUGUCUAAGUAUGUUGCAAUAAACUCUGAAUUCACAA